UGCUUAACACAUGCAAGUCGAACGGGAUGCUUAGGCAUCUAGUGGCGGACGGGUGAGUAACGCGUGAGAAUCUGGCUCCAGGUCGGGGAUAACAGUUGGAAACGACUGCUAAUACCGGAUGUGCCGAGAGGUGAAAGAUUUAUCGCCUGGAGAUGAGCUCGCGUCUGAUUAGCUAGUUGGCGGUGUAAGGGACCACCAAGGCAUCGAUCAGUAGCUGGUCUGAGAGGAUGAUCAGCCACACUGGGACUGAGACACGGCCCAGACUCCUACGGGAGGCAGCAGUGGGGAAUUUUCCGCAAUGGGCGAAAGCCUGACGGAGCAAUACCGCGUGAGGGAGGAAGGCUCUUGGGUCGUAAACCUCUUUUCUCAAGGAAGAAGAAAGUGACGGUACUUGAGGAAUAAGCAUCGGCUAACUCCGUGCCAGUAGCCGCGGUAAUACGGAGGAUGCAAGCGUUAUCCGGAAUGAUUGGGCGUAAAGGGUCUGCAGGUGGAACUGAAAGUCUGCUGUUAAAGAGUUUGGCUUAACCAAAUAAAAGCGGUGGAAACUACAGAACUAGAGUGCGGUAGGGGCAAAAGGAAUUCCUGGUGUAGCGGUGAAAUGCGUAGAUAUCAGGAAGAACACCGGUGGCGAAAGCGUUUUGCUAGACCGUAACUGACACUGAGGGACGAAAGCUAGGGGAGCGAAUGGGAUUAGAUACCCCAGUAGUCCUAGCCGUAAACGAUGGAUACUAGGCGUGGCUUGUAUCGACCCGAGCCGUGCCGGAGCUAACGCGUUAAGUAUCCCGCCUGGGGAGUACGCACGCAAGUGUGAAACUCAAAGGAAUUGACGGGGGCCCGCACAAGCGGUGGAGUAUGUGGUUUAAUUCGAUGCAACGCGAAGAACCUUACCAAGACUUGACAUCCUGCGAAUCCCAGUGAAAGCUGGGAGUGCCUUAGGGAGCGCAGAGACAGGUGGUGCAUGGCUGUCGUCAGCUCGUGUCGUGAGAUGUUGGGUUAAGUCCCGCAACGAGCGCAACCCUCGUUUUUAGUUGCCAGCAUUAAGUUGGGCACUCUAGAGAGACUGCCGGUGACAAACCGGAGGAAGGUGAGGAUGACGUCAAGUCAGCAUGCCCCUUACGUCUUGGGCUACACACGUACUACAAUGCUACGGACAGAGGGCAGCGAGCCAGGGAUGGCAAGCGAAUCCAGAAACCGUAGCUCAGUUCAGAUUGAAGGCUGCAACUCGCCUUCGUGAAGGAGGAAUCGCUAGUAAUUGCAGGUCAGCAUACUGCAGUGAAUUCGUUCCCGGGCCUUGUACACACCGCCCGUCACACCAUGGAAGUUGGUCACGCCCGAAGUCAUUACCCCAACCGAAAGGAGGGGGAUGCCUAAGGUAGGACUGGUGACUGGGGUGAAGUCGUAACAAGGUAGCCGUACCGGAAGGUGUGGCUGGAUCACCUCCUUUUAGGGAGACCUACCCAUUGAAGAAUCGAAAGCGGAAA
rnacentral:rRNA from 1 species